rnacentral:rRNA from 1 species
AGUGAACGCUGGCGGUAGGCCUAACACAUGCAAGUCGAACGGCAGCACAGUAAGAGCUUGCUCUUACGGGUGGCGAGUGGCGGACGGGUGAGGAAUACAUCGGAAUCUACUUUUUCGUGGGGGAUAACGUAGGGAAACUUACGCUAAUACCGCAUACGACCUACGGGUGAAAGCAGGGGAUCUUCGGACCUUGCGCGAUUGAAUGAGCCGAUGUCGGAUUAGCUAGUUGGCGGGGUAAAGGCCCACCAAGGCGACGAUCCGUAGCUGGUCUGAGAGGAUGAUCAGCCACACUGGAACUGAGACACGGUCCAGACUCCUACGGGAGGCAGCAGUGGGGAAUAUUGGACAAUGGGCGCAAGCCUGAUCCAGCCACACCGCGCGGGUGAAGAAGGCCUUCGGGUUUUAAAGCCCUUUUGUUGGGAAAGAAAAGCAGCAGGUUAAUACCCCGCUGUUCUGACGGUACCCAAAGAAUAAGCACCGGCUAACUUCGUG